AAAACUAAAUAAUAUAACAUAAACACAUGAAGUCAUCGAUGUCUAUGGUAUGAAAUGCACAUGCACAAAAUAGAGUGCACAUGAAGACAGAGCACUAUAGUGUCCUGAGUUGCAAGUCUCUGAGCACUGAAAUGAUCUGCAAUUAUAUGUACAAAGUAACCGAAUAAGAACAAGAAAUUUAGAGUAAAUGAGAUGUAAAAUGUAAGUAAUGAGCAUUGGAAUUAAGGCAGGGUCAGUGACAGUUGGGUGCACUUGACAGGAAAAUCGGCGAGGCAUAAUAUGAAAUUAGAGCGCUUGAGUAAAUGAGUGCGUGCACUUCUCUUGGAGGCACCUAAAUGAAAAAAGAAACUAUUCACCUCUCGAUAUAUUCCCUAAGACCAUAUAAAAUCAGGAAGGUACUGAAGAGAGAUUCUCAAAUUCAAAGUUGAAGAAGCUUACCAGAUUAAGAAGCCAUGUCUAGGAAUGCUUGAAGCUUCAAAGAUUUCCUAUAAUACAGCAUGCCUCUAACUAUCCACAAUAAGAAAAACAUGUAAAUGCGGAAUCAACCAAAUGAUGGUAAACUGUAAUUGAUUUUGGCCAAGCAAACGUCAAAUGAAAGAAACAUACAUGAGUGAACAGCAUGAUUGGAUGCUUUAUUCAAAUUUAAUAGGUUAAACUCACCAAAUCCAUCUGAAUCUUUAGUAUUAAACUUCAACAGAUGGUCAGUUGUAGCUAGAUUCACACCACCGAAGCAAAAUUCCAC
rnacentral:lncRNA from 1 species